rnacentral:rRNA from 1 species
UACGGAGGAUCCAAGCGUUAUCCGGAUUUAUUGGGUUUAAAGGGUGCGUAGGUGGCUUGUUAAGUCAGGGGUGAAAGACGGUAGCUUAACUAUCGCAGUGCCCUUGAUACUGAUGAGCUUGAAUGAACUAGAGGUAGUCGGAAUGUGACAAGUAGAGGUGAAAUGCAUAGAUAGGGCGCAGAACACCAAUUGCGAAGGCAGCUUACUAGGGUUUGAUUGACACUGAGGCACGAAAGCGUGGGGAUCAAACAGG